ACCACGCGCCUAGGGCUGAUUAGCACAUUCACAGCUUACUUACAACUACAUCUUGAGAUAGCCGAGUAGGGAGAGUGAGAGCACUGGAGAGCACAGAAGAGGUCAAGAAAUAGUUGAGACUACCUUGACUCGAGGUGGACUUGAGCCAAUUUGCAAAACACUGAUUGAGACAAAGGAAUGGGGACUUCAAGCAUCAGCAGCAUCAUUGUGGGGACAGCAUCCUUAGUCCUACACAAGAAUUAACAAGGUGAAGGAGAUGGAAGUCCCUCUGCUCCUCAGUAUCAGAAUUUGAACAUUCAAGAGUAUCAACGGACCCUUUUUGAACUGAUGCCUCCUCGAAGCCAUGGACUAAGAUGAGAAGUGGAUGACUUCUGAGGUAGACAGCUUAACCCAGGAAUGACUGAAAUGAAGUUUGUCUGGCUGCUCUACCAUACUGGACUAUUUCCCCUGGUU
rnacentral:lncRNA from 1 species